UGUGUUCUCAUUUUUACUUUUCUUCUCAUAUUUCUUUUCUUUAUUGUCGAUAUAAUUUUAACAGAUGCUUUGGUCGUCGUUUUAAAAUUGUUAUUGAAUGUAAUGACUUUUGAAAACUUGUUGACUGUUAUCAGGAAAAAAUCUCUAAAAUUAUAGUUUAUUUGCAUUUGGAAUUUGGAGUACAGAAGAGAACUUCUAAAAAGAUUCUGAUGCUCCUUGUUUAUUGUUUUCUCUCAAAAGACACAUCCUUAUAUAAGUUUUUUUCAUCCUUUAAUUCCUGGCUCCACCAAUGUUCCUAAGGAGAAUUAUGUUAAGUCUGAGCAAACAAUAGGAGGUUCAAAGAAUUGGUUAAUACUAUAUCCAAUUAUUUAAAUAGAUUUAUAGUAGAUUCUUCUCUAGCACAUGUAUAUUUGUUUCAUUUGUUUUUAUAUGCAUUAGUCUUCAUUCUUUUUUGUGUUUUGCUAUUUGAAGGUACAUUACAGGUUAAAAUAUUCAAAUCUCACGGAACCUUUUCCAUUUUAAAGAAAUUAUGGUCAGUUAUAAUACAAUAAUGAACUCUUUUUCCUCCAACUUGUGUUCCUCAGAUUGUUAAGAUUGGUUAUUGAGUUUUUGUUGAUUUGAAUGCUCAUAUUUUUCACCAUGCCUCUAUCAUAGCAUGCAUCUUUCGGAUUUGCGUUCAUCUGAACUACCACUCUUAUUUACUGGAAUUUUAAAAUUUCUAUUGUAAUAUUUGUUGUUGUGGGCAUGCAGAACGCCAAAACCUUCUUGGCAUACAUUUGAUAGUAUACUAUCUUGUAGGCUCUUUAACCUUCAAGACUGCAUUUGCUUACAAAAUUACUUAAGUUAAUUAUUUCUUAGAUUUACUCAGUGAUUAUAGGUGUGUCAAUUUGGUUUAAAUCUGUUGUAUUUGUGUACACAAUGUGUCACCAGUAUGUAAUACUGAACUCACUAAUUUUAUGCAAGUGAUGGACUGAUAUGGGCAUAUUUUUCUUUUAUCUUGUCCAAGUAACAGACCUCUAAUAAACAUGUACUCUUUAUGGAUGGAUCAGAUUGGUUAUGACGAAUUAACAUGUUUUUUUUGUGUUCAACUAGCUACAUCUAAUAAAACUUAAAUGUUUGAUUUAUGAAGGUUAGUAAGUAAUGUACAAGUGCUGAAACUUUAACUCUACUACUUGUUCCGGGUUACCAGUUCCUUUAUGUGAACAUUACUGUAGUGCUCGAUCCGUAUCCAUCUAUUGAUUUUUCAUCUAAAGAAUUUUUCUUGUUUAUACAAUUGUACACUUAACUGAGCAAAAUUUUGGCUUCAGCAAACCUAUAUGCAACAUAAAAAUGCUUCCUUUUUUAUGUGUCUCAUGCUACAACCUUCCUCUUGGAGCUGCCAAUAUGAAUUGACCAACAAAUUAUAAAUCUUAUGACAUCGCAUUGAGAGAAUACAGCAGUACGCUUGAAUCAACUUCAUGCUUCUACUAUUUCAGUUGUACAUUUUUCAACUAGCUUUAUUGUAUGGAUGACUUGCUCAUUCACUGUAAUUUGGUAUUACUGCUGAAUGCAUCACCUAGUAAUCAUUAUGUGCUGAGAAACUGAUCCUAGCUGUAUGUUGAUCUAUUUUGAUGUCAUCAGCACAUGGAGAAUGCUUACCCGGGCUCUAAUAUUUUGUGGCAACCAAAGUAAUAUUGCUGGCUAAUCUUGUUCCUCCUAGCCAUUUUGCUGAAAUUUUUAUUGUCAUGAUGUCAUCAUUGAAUAUUUUUCAUUUGCCAGAACUAUGCUUUUGUUGUUGAUGUUCAUGAAAUGAUACCAGCUCCUAUAAUUUGGUGGAUAUUAUUAUGGGAAGAUCAAGUUUCCUCCUGAAUAUCCAUUAGGUGGAUAUUAUUAUGGGAAGAUUAAGUUUCCUCCAUAAUAUCCAUUUAAACCCCUAGGAAUCAGGUAAUCUAAUU
rnacentral:lncRNA from 1 species